GAAUCCCGUCUUUGACACGGACUACCAGUGCUAUGUGAUGCGCUCUCGACGAGUCGAGUUGUUUGGGAAUGCAGCUCAAAAUGGGUGGUAAAUUCCAUCUAAAGCUAAAUACAGGCGAGAGACCGAUAGCGAACAAGUACCGUGAGGGAAAGAUGAAAAGCACUUUGGAAAGAGAGUGAAACAGUACGUGAAAUUGUUGAAAGGGAAACGCUUGAAGUCAGUCGUGCCCUUUGGGAUUCAGCCUUGCUUCUGCUUGGUUUACUUCUCUUUGGGUGGGUCAACAUCAGUUUGGGUCGGAGGAGAAAGACUUGGGGAAGGUGGCAGCAUUCGUGCUGUGUUAUAGCCCCUUGUUGUAUACUUCGAUUUGGACUGAGGACCGCAGCACGCCUUUGGCCGGGGCUCGCCCACGUACGUGCUUAGGAUGUUGGCAUAAUGGCUUUAAGCGACCCGUCUUGAAACACGGACCAAGGAGUCUAACAUGCCUGCGAGUGUUCGGGUGGAAAACCCGUGCGCGCAAUGAAAGUGAAAGUUGGGACCUCUGUCGUGGAGGGCACCGACGCCCGGACCAGACCUUCUGUGACGGCUCUGCGGUAGGGCAUGUAUGUUAGGACCCGAAAGAUGGUGAACUAUGCCUGAAUAGGGUGAAGCCAGAGGAAACUCUGGUGGAGGCUCGUAGCGAUUCUGACGUGCAAAUCGAUCGUCAAAUUUGGGUAUAGGGGCGAAAGACUAAUCGAACCAUCUAGUAGCUGGUUCCUGCC
rnacentral:rRNA from 1 species